GACGAACGCUGGCGGCGUGCUUAACACAUGCAAGUCGAACGGUGAAGCGCCUUCCUUUUUGGUGGGUGUGGAUGAGUGGCGAACGGGUGAGUAACACGUUAGUAACCUGCCCCCUUCUUCUGGAUAACCGCAUGAAAGUGUUGCUAAUACGGGAUAUUCUGGGUCUGUCGCAUGAUGGGUCUGGGAAAGAUCUUGUUUCGGUGGGGGAUGGGCUCGCGGCCUAUCAGCUUGUUGGUGGGGUGAUGGCCUACCAAGGCGGUGACGGGUAGCCGGCCUGAGAGGGUGGACGGUCACACUGGGACUGAGACACGGACAAGACUCCUACGGGAGGCAGCAGUGGGGAAUAUUGCACAAUGGGCGCAAGCCUGAUGCAGCGACGCCGCGUGAGGGAUGGAGGCCUUCGGGUUGUGAACCUCUUUCGCCAGUGAAGCAGGCCUGCCUCGUUUGUGGGUGGGUUGACGGUAGCUGGAUAAGAAGCGCCGGCUAACUACGUG
rnacentral:rRNA from 1 species